CUAAUCCGUUUGCGGUUAAAGCUUCAUCACCACACCAAGGUCUUCAAAUCUCACAGUUUACAGUUGAUAGCCAAGAUGCAUUUAACUGUGUUUCUAUAUGGGAGGAAAGAUAUGCAACAACCUAAAAUAACCGAAAGACUCUUUUCAACAAUGCAGGGCAUGAAACAUGCAGGAAAAUAGAAUGUGAAAAGUACUACCUACACUGAGAGGUUAAGAUUAGUAACACAUUACAUACCUGAUGGAGGCCUCUGCUGUUGUAACCUGAGUCUGCAAUCGUGCCUUCUCUGCUUGGCCUUGAGUGAUUUGUCCUUCCAUAUGCCCUAUCUGCUGCUGUAAUUCACGAACUCUUGAAUUAAGAAGCUGGCGGUCAGUCUCAUACCUCGCACGUAGGUCUUCAAACAACCUGAGUGUUAAAAUGCAAACAGAAUUGUGUCAAGCAUAACCUGCGCCCAAUGUUCUCUCUGUGCUCGCAUUUCUGGUUCACUGGUUUUAUUCAAUAAAGUGACACAAUAUCAUUUGAGUGCAAGCAGUUUUAACUGAUUAAUUUAGUAGGUCAAUGCUUUUAAAUCACUGAAAUAUAAGUUUUGAGAAGCAUUAAUAAUAAAUAAAAAAGUUAUUUUCACAGCAUCUCUGCCACAUCUUAUAUCAGCACUACCAAUCAGCUGUCCCUUGAAAGUAAGUUAUAGUAUAAUGUACUUUUCUCACUGACUUCUAAGAUGAGUUGUUGUCCAGUGACUUCACAUUUUGUAAAAUUUUAUUUUAAAUAC